rnacentral:rRNA from 1 species
CGGACGGGUGAGUAACGCGUGGGUAACCUGCCCUGUACAGGGGGAUAACAGUUGGAAACGGCUGCUAAAACCGCAUAACAUGGAGAUACCGCAUGAUAUUUCCAUCAAAUAUUUAUAGGUACAGGAUGGGCCCGCGUCUGAUUAGCCAGUUGGCAGGUAAUGGCCUACCAAAGCGACGAUCAGUAGCCGGCUUGAGAGAGUGACCGGCCACAUUGGGACUGAGACACGGCCCAAACUCCUACGGAAGGCAGCAG